rnacentral:rRNA from 1 species
UGAGGAACCCUUCCGAAAAAACACGAAAGUUGUGACGGGGUAACCCAAAGUGUCCUUAAUAGGACUGUGGUAGGUGAGUAAUGUCCCCUACUAGAAAGGAGAGGGCAAGGCUGGUGCCAGCCGCCGCGGUAAAACCAGCUCUUCAAGUGGUCGGGAUAAUUAUUGGGCUUAAAGUGUCCGUAGCCGGUUUAGUAAGUUCCUGGUAAAAUCAGGUAGCUUAACUAUCUGUAUGCUAGGAAUACUGCUAUACUAGAGGGCGGGAGAGGUCUGAGGUACUACAGGGGUAGGGGUGAAAUCUUAUAAUCCUUGUAGGACCACCAGUGGCGAAGGCGUCAGACUGGAACGUGCCUGACGGUGAGGGACGAAAGCCAGGGGAGCGAACCGGAUUAGAUACCCGGGUAGUCCUGGCCGUAAACGAUGCAUACUAGGUGAUGGCCCGGCCAUGAGCCGUGUCAGUGCCGUAGGGAAACCGUUAAGUGUGCCGCCUGGG